rnacentral:rRNA from 1 species
GUGAACGCUGGCGGUAGGCCUAACACAUGCAAGUCGGACGGCAGCACAGUAAGAGCUUGCUCUUACGGGUGGCGAGUGGCGGACGGGUGAGGAAUACAUCGGAAUCUACUUUUUCGUGGGGGAUAACGUAGGGAAACUUACGCUAAUACCGCAUACGACCUACGGGUGAAAGCAGGGGAUCUUCGGACCUUGCGCAAUUGAAUGAGCCGAUGUCGGAUUAGCUAGUUGGCGGGGUAAAGGCCCACCAAGGCGACGAUCCGUAGCUGGUCUGAGAGGAUGAUCAGCCACACUGGAACGGAGACACGGUCCAGACUCCUACGGGAGGCAGCAGUGGGGAAUAUUGGACAAUGGGCGCAAGCCUGAUCCAGCCAUACCGCGUGGGUGAAGAAGGCCUUCGGGUUGUAAAGCCCUUUUGUUGGGAAAGAAAAGCAGCAGGUUAAUACCCCGCUGUUCUGACGGUACCCAAAGAAUAAGCACCGGCUAACUUCGUG